UGGUGCAGUGUCUACAAUGAUGCAGUACAUGAAUAGAUAGCCCCACCCUUUUUACUUCAAAGCACAGCAGAUCUCAAGUGCGGUAUAUGGUCAGUCCUUUCUCAUCUUCUAGGAUCUCCUCGACUCGUUUUCUCUGGGUAGAGAGAAAAAUAACAUGAAGAUGGGGAACACCAAGCAGAGAAACAGCCAGUUGUAGAGACAUACAGAGAAAGGGAGAGAGAGAAGGAAAAGAAAAGAGAGAGAGAAGGAGAAGAAGGGAGAGAGAGAAGGAGAAGAAGGGACAGAGAGAAGGAGAGAUGUGUGUAAUGUUAAGAAUUUCUGAUUUAUUUUUUGAUAUAUUUUUCUUCACUUCAUAGGUUUAUUGUACCUUUUUCCACAUAUAUUUUCUUAUGCCAAUAAAACUGUUUAAAUUGAAUUCAUAGAGGGGGGGAGAGAAGUGUUAGCCAGACAAACAGACAGGCAGACAGCCCCACAAACAGACAGGCAGACAAACAGACAGGCAGACAGCCAGACAAAGAGACAGCCAGACAAACAGACAGGCAGACAGCCAGACAGGCAGACAAACAGACAGGCAGACAGCCAGACAGGCAGACAGCCAGACAAACCGACAGGCAGACAGCAAGACAAACAGACAGGCAGACAAACAGACAUCCAGACAAGUAGACAGCCAGACAAACAGGCAGGCAGGCAGACAAACAGACAGGUAGACAGCCAGACAAACAGGCAGGCCGACAGGCAGACAGAGUACCAAGUGUCUAAUGCAUCAUUCUCUUUCCACCAAGGCUCUGGCUCGGCAUGUACAUUUAAAAGAGUGAUUAGUAAGUUCUCCACCAUACAAAUGCUAUGAUAUGCUAAUUCUAUUGUAAAUGCUAUUGGGGAAAGAUUUUAGUUGAAAUGGAGUACUUCCUAAAUAGUUUGCUAUUGUCUGCGUAUUCACUCGCAGCAGAUUCCUCAUUUCCCCAAUCAUUUCCACUACAUAUUUUUUCCGGGUUGUUGUGUUGCCAGUAUCAAAGAAAUUGGGAUAAAGUUCUGCAGAAAACUCUGGACCUUCUGGAUCUGCAGGUACUGAGAAGAGUUUUGACUGGGCUGGCCACCCAGGGGGAGUGUCCCUGUGCCAAGCCUGGGUGUGGAGGUAGGGUCAGGGGGAGUGUCCCUGUGCCAAGCCUGGGUAUGGAGGUAGGGUCAGGGGGAGUGUCCCUGUGCCAAGCCUGGGUAUGGAGGUAGGGUCAGGGGGAGUGUCCCUGUGCCAAGUCCACAACACCCACCCUAACCGGGGUGUCAUAACACUAUAUAUAACACCCACCAUAACCGGGGUGUCAUAACACUAUAUACAACACCCACCAUAAUCGGGGUGUCAUAACA
ensembl:lncRNA